rfam:Physcomitrella patens subsp. patens PHYPAscaffold_37 genomic scaffold, whole genome shotgun sequence.
GUCUUUUCCUGCCUCUCACUAGCUUCUUCCCUCCCUGCCUGAGUCGCAGUCUGGGAGGUAAGGAGCUAUUGGUAGACAGGAAUAGCG